UUUAUACUACGUAUACCCAGACAUGUUUAUGUGGCAAGAUUAGAAGUAAAGUUUAGAUGAAAAUUUCGAAAGGUAUACCCAUGAGAAAACAUUUGUUGUUCACUUUAAUUGCAAAUGCCCACACGAUCGAAAAGAUAUAUUGUUCAUUUUAGAUCAUAUGUGUAUAAAAUGCUUACGUGAAAGGAAAACUUGGGAAGGAGGUGAGAAUGAAGGGUGAGGUCACGAAUACGGUUUCGCUCAAAGACUAACGUGCGCGAGGAGAGAGCAAGGGUGAGGACAAAUGAGCAGAGGAGAGUGAAGGGCCACAUGACGUAUGUGAGAUACCAUGGGGAUCGAGACCACAAGGGGAUAG
rnacentral:lncRNA from 1 species